GUGGAAGGUCAGAAUGGGGAAGGUAGGACUUGGGGAGAGCCAGAAAGCUGGGCCACAGAAUGCCCAUCAUGUGGCUUUGGCAGGGAUACCUUCUCCCCUGUCUCCUGCGAUGACACAGAAAAUACAUCCGAGGAAGUGGUUUCAGGAUUCCCCUGGGAAAAGCGGGAAGAACAGCAGCAUGAAGGCCGACCAUGUGCUGGAGGAGCCAAGAGUUCUACAACUUCAUCAAAAGGUGACAGCGCAGCUUGAGGAAGUUCAGACAUGUCCCCAGUCUCAUUUGCCGUUCUUCCCCUUUCCUCAUCAAGUGGGCCCUGACAACCUUUCUUUCUGAAGCUACAUAAAUUAAACAGGGUUAAGACUCUCAGUCCUUGUUCCAGCUCCAAAACAAGCCAAGACAAGAAAGGAUCCCGCAGACACAAAGAUAUUGAAAGUAUAUUUGUGCAAAGACAAAACAGUAAAUGAUGAGAUUCCAAGCCUCUCCAACUCUCUUGCUCUUCUAUUAAUUCUCGGACUUUCUCAUCACUAUCUAAAGAAAAGUCAAGUUGAAGGAGUUAUGUAGUCUCCCCUCCCCCAGCCUGAAACCUGCUUGCUCAGGGGUGGAGCUUCCUGCUCAUUCAUUCUGCCAUGCCCACUGCUGGAACCUGCGGAGCCACACACGUGCACCUUUCUACUGGACCAGAGAUUAUUCGGCGGGAAUCGGGUCCCCUCCCCCUUCCUUCAUAACUGAGUGUCACAACAGUAAAAUUUGAGCUUUGAUCAGAGUAA
rnacentral:lncRNA from 1 species